rnacentral:tRNA from 1 species
GCUCAGUUGGCUAAGCGUCUGACUUCAACUCAGGUCAUGAUCUCAUGGUUCGUGGGUUCAAGCCCCUCAUUGGGCU